GUGCCAGCCGCCGCGGUAAUACGGAGGGGGUUAGCGUUGUUCGGAAUUACUGGGCGUAAAGCGCACGUAGGCGGAUUGGAAAGUUGGGGGUGAAAUCCCGGGGCUCAACCCCGGAACUGCUUCCAAAACUAUCAGUCUAGAGUUCGAGAGAGGUGAGUGGAAUUCCGAGUGUAGAGGUGAAAUUCGUAGAUAUUCGGAGGAACACCAGUGGCGAAGGCGGCUCACUGGCUCGAUACUGACGCUGAGGUGCGACAGCGUGGGGAGCAAACAGGCUUAGAUACCCCGAGUCC
rnacentral:rRNA from 1 species